CCACAUUGGGACUGAGACACGGCCCAAACUCCUACGGGAGGCUGCAGUAGGGAAUCUUCCACAAUGGGCGAAAGCCUGAUGGAGCAACGCCGCGUGUGUGAUGAAGGCUUUCGGGUCGUAAAGCACUGUUGUAUGGGAAGAACAGCUAGAAUAGGGAAUGAUUUUAGUUUGACGGUACCAUACCAGAAAGGGACGGCUAAAUACGU
rnacentral:rRNA from 1 species